rnacentral:rRNA from 1 species
CUGCUGCCUUCCGUAGGAGUUUGGACCGUGUCUCAGUUCCAAUGUGGGGGACCUUCCUCUCAGAACCCCUAUCCAUCGUCGUCUUGGUGGGCCGUUACCCCGCCAACUAACUAAUGGAACGCAUCCCCAUCGAUAACCGAAAUUCUUUAAUAUCAAGAUCAUGCGAUCUUGAUAUCCUAUCGGAUAUUAAUCUUUCUUUCGAAAGGCUAUCCCCGAGUUAUCGGCAGGUUGGAUACGUGUUACUCACCCGUGCGCCGGUCGCCA